rnacentral:lncRNA from 1 species
UGCCUCAGCAGACAGUCAGCUCAAACUACCAGACGUGCAAAUGAGAGGAUCUGGCAGCUUCUAGGACAGCCAAUCCUGCUGAUAAAUGCAAUGCAAGAAGGAAUCCAGAAUCUUGCUUUGUCACCCAGGCUGGAGUGCAGUGGCAUGAUCUCAGCUCAUUACAACAUCUGCCUCCCAGGUUCAAGCAAUUUUCCUGCCUCCACCUCCUGAGUAGCUGGGACUACAGUUGCAUACCACCACAUCUGGCUAAUUUUUGUAUUUUUAGUAGAGAGAGGGUUUCAACGUGUUGACCAGCUGGUCUCGAACUCCUGACCUCAGGUGAUCCACCCGCCUUGGCCUUCUGAAGUACUGUGAUUACAACCGUGAGCCACCGCGCCCAGCCUGAAUCCUGACUUUCUGACCUAGGGCAAUUUAACAAAAUUUUCUGAAUCUCAGUUUCUCCAUAUUUCAUUGAGCAAUGAAAGUGUCUUUCUCACAACAUUGUGAUGAAUCAUAAAAUGGAAAAGAACAAAGCAACACAGAAUAUUAAACUCAAUGCCUGUUACAUAAUCAAUGAUGCAUACAUUAGUACUAUUAGAGUCAGGUAUUGCUAUGUCUAUGACAAUAACUACAGAUGUUCUUUACUAGAACGUGAAGAAGGAACAAAAAUCUGAUAAUUUUAAACUACAUCUUGUCUGGAGUCUCAGUCAGACCUCACGUAUGUAUUUCCAACAUAUUUUACUAUGUGAGGGAUAUCUUUUUUAUUUUCUCAAGACUUGAGAAUUAAUUAAAAAAAUGUAUAUACAUAUAUCUCAGGUGAAGGUGUGUGUCUGUAGCAUUACAUACAUUAAAUAUAUAGCAUUCUGGAAAAGUUGAUAUAUUACUACAAAAAUAGUACAAUGUGAAUGUCUUCAAUCUUUCCCCAUUCACCAAUUGUAACUAGGCCUCUGACUUUUCUCUUCUGUAUAAGCCCCACUCAGACCAGCAUACUUUUGUUUUGAGAACUAAGCAAGGUGAUUGAGUGAUCAUUGAAAUGAUGUUCUUGGUCUCUAGAAAUCCAUGUGCUGGGAGAAGUGAGGGAGGACACAUAUAACACACACUUAGCCCAUAAAUUAAUACAGUAAAUCCAGAGAUACACUGCUUUAAAGAAAUGCAUGGAAUAGAGGAUGAGCGGGUGAUGCUUUAGUUUGGCUACUUGGAGAAAACUUUCUUCAGGAGGUGAUACUUGAGGUGAGGAGGGUACUGUCUUACUUAGGUGUCCCAUUUGACAUUGUUGAUGGGGAUUGUGAGUCAGAAAUGGGGAAUGGAGAGUAGAAAAGAGGCACAGGCCAGGAACUGAGAAGUGUUCACAUAGCAGGCAAUAAAUACAGAGGCACUGGAGAGAAUGAUGCUGGAGUCACUGAGACAUAUGAGAGCAAUAACAAGAUUAAAAGCAUUACUUCCAGACCUUGUGCCCUUUUACAGCAUUUCAGAACCACAAGUAAAAUGCAUGAGCUAUUUUGAAAUUGUUUGACCUUUUUUGCUUUAUACAAUAGUGACAUUUGUUAAGUUAGGAGUGUGGGAC